rnacentral:rRNA from 1 species
UACGGAGGGUUCGAGCGUUAUCCGGAUUUACUGGGUUUAAAGGGUGCGCAGGCGGCUAAUUAAGUCAGUGGUGAAAUCUUAAGGCUUAACCUUAAAACUGCCAUUGAUACUACUUAGCUUGAAUACUGUAGAGGACAGCGGAACAGGACAUGUAGCGGUGAAAUGCAUAGAUAUGUCCUGGAACACCGAUAGCGAAGGCAGCUGUCUUGACAGAGAUUGACGCUGAGGCACGAAAGCGUGGGUAGAGAAC